rnacentral:lncRNA from 1 species
GUUUAGUAUUGAUUGUUAGUGGUGUGAUUGGGUGUGUUAUUAUUCUGAAUUACGGGGGAGAGUGUUUUCUCGUGUGAAUGAGGGUUUUAUGUUGUUAAUGUGGUGUAGGAGAGUGAUAUUUGAUCAGGAGAAUGUGGUUACUAGCACAGAGAGUUCUCCUAGUAGGUUAAUAGUGGGGGGUAAGGCGAGAUUAGUGAGUUUGCUAGGCAGAAUAGUAAUGAGGAUGUAAGUCCGUGGGGGGAUGGUGCUAAUAAUUAGGCUGUGAGUGGUUGUGUUGAUUCAAAUUAUGUGUUUUUUGGAGAGUCAUGUCAGUGGUAGUAAUAUAAUUGUUGGGACAAUUAGUUUUAGCAUUGGAGUAGGGUUAUGAGAGUGGCUAUAAUGAAUAGUGAUAGUAUUAUUCCUUCUAGGCAUAGUAGGGAGGAUAUCAGGUGUGAGCGAUAUACUAGUAUUCCUAGAAGUGAGAUGGUAAAUUCUAGUAUAAUAUUUAUGUAAAUGAGAGGCAUUUGGUAAAUAUGAUUAUCAUAAUUUAAUGAGUCGAAAUCAUUCGUUUUGUUUGAACUAUAUACCAAUUCGGCUCAGUCUAACCCUUUUUAUAAUCAUUCGUAGGCCAGACUUAGGGCUAGGAUGAUGAUUAAUAAGAGGGACGAUGUGACUAUUAGUGGUAAGUUAGUUGUUUGUAGGGCUCAUGGCAAGGGUAAAAGGAGUGAAGGGUAUUAAGAAUGACUUCCAGGCUGGGCGCGGUGGCUCACGCCUGUAAUCCUAGCACUUU